AUCGGACUUACCUACAAAGUGACGUAAAAGCAGGCAGGCUUUACUGUUGUGUCUUCAAGUGUAUUUUUCCUAUUUAGUUAUCUUCUUAUUUAUAAAUAUCAUUAUUUAAAUAAAAUGAUGCAGUUUAUGCUAUUGUUUAGUCGACAAGGCAAACUAAGACUCCAGAAAUGGUUCACUGCCUACCCAGACAGGACAAAGAAGAAGAUAACUAGAGAAUUAAUAGCACUUGUUUUAGCCCGAAAGCCAAAGAUGUGCAGUUUUUUAGAAUGGAAAGAUUUAAAAAUUGUUUAUAAAAGAUAUGCCAGUUUGUAUUUCUGUUGUGCAAUUGAAAAUGAUGACAAUGAGUUACUCACACUUGAAGUUAUUCAUCGCUAUGUAGAACUUUUAGACAAAUAUUUUGGAAGUGUGUGUGAACUUGACAUCAUCUUCAAUUUUGAGAAGGCCUACUUCAUGUUGGAUGAGUUUCUGUUAGGGGGGGAAGUGCAAGAGACCAGCAAGAAAAAUGUUCUUAAAGCCAUUGCAGCCCAGGAUUUACUCCAGGAGGAUGAAGCAGUUGAAAUAGCCCUUAAAGAAUAUGGCCUGUACUAGCAUUGGUUGCCCUAUUUUUACCUCAUGCAUUAUGUAGGUCAGGUAUGAUUCGAGCUGAUUCUAUUUUUCAAGUCAAAUUCCUUCAAAGUGUUUUAUAGAUUCAUCACAAGCCUGUGUUUGGGAGGAAACUCCACAGGGAUUCUUCGAGGACCAUGGCUUAGGCUAAAGUUUUCCUGUUCAGCACUGCACCUUCCACUCCCUUCAUCCUAACUGCAUUGCAUGACUGACUGAAUUCAUUCAUCUUGGUUUAUUUCUAUGACACAAUGUUUGGUAGUAAUCAGAUUGAUUGGGUUUGUCUUGUAACAAUACUGUUCAUUGAUAAAAUAUAUUUUGUAUACUGCUUGUCAUGAGAUUAAGUGAUAGUUUUAUUUAAAAGUCAAAAUAUUUCUGUACAAGUAAAUGUCAUUUGUAUUUCAACCUAUUAUUAUAUGUCUUGAUAAACUGGACUCAAAGUUCAUGGGGAUAUUAUUUUGUAAUAAACAAAAAGGGGAGGACAUAAAUGUACUAUGAACAUUUGGAUCAUACUAAAUGAUGAGCAGCUAAGGAUGUCCUUCUUCAUAAAAUAUAAAAGCAUUCCUUUCUACAAAUCUCCUGCAGGGUGGAACAUAGUACAAAAGAAAACAUCUGUACCUUAGAAAACAAUGAUAGAAAAAAAAAACCAACAUUAACUGUCGAGAUUGGUGGCUAUUUUGUAUUGGCUUGAGUCUAGACCUUAAAAUUGAUUAAUUGUAUUUGUAAUGCCAUGUUGACUAUUGUAUUUUGCAUAGACUACAGGUAAGCAAUUCCAUUACUUUUCUGUUAUAUGUUUUAAUGACAUCCUUGCCUGUUUUCUUAACAGCACAAUAAGAAGCUUGUAUGUUUUAGUUGCUGUAUUUUGUAUUUACUUUAAGAUAUUCAAAGUAAAUUAGAGUUUUGGUUGUGUACCCUGGCAAUUUUUGUAUUCAGAGUUGCUACAGGUUUUUUUUCAUCUUUUGCGUGUGUGUUUUGAUUUAUAAUGUUUUAAAGAAAAUCUUUAGCCCUGUAUCAGUAUCCUCAAAUCAUUCCAGGAGUCUAACAUGCAAGUUCAGUUAUUUCUGAAGUAUUUAUUUAAGGUUCUAGUUGUUUAAAAAAAUGGACAUCAAUAAUUUGUGCUGACUGAGUGUCACUAGGAACAGAUCCCCUGCAAUAUACCUUGUUACAAGUGAACUCUUCGUCUCGUAAAUUAUUAUUUUUUUUUUUCAAUAGAAUUUACUUUUGUUUUUUUGUUUUUUUUUUAAUACUUUCUAGUUCUUAUUCCUAUCCUGAAACCAAAAUGUUGUUGUUGUUUUUUUCAGUAUAAAGUGUAACAUAAGAGACAGUUCUAAUGUGCUAAUUUAAGUACUGAUUACAAAAGUGGUCCUAAUUCAUUGAUUAGAAGUCAAAAUGAUUGUCAUUUUUUUUUUAUAGAAGGUGAUGUCAUAUUUCUGCUGGGGAAGGUAGAGAGAAAGAAAAACCAUAACUCAUUUUAGAAUGGUUAAGCUUGUUUUUAUAAGGGACAGUAAAGGAGUGGCUAUUUUUUUAAACAGUCAAGCAUAUCUUCAAUGACAAUUAGCUCCAACAUGACUACAGAGGCAUUAUUAUGUUGAAAAUGUGAUUUUCAUUCCAUGACUUUUUGAUUUUGUUAACACCAAACAGUUUAGUUACUGUGCAUUUUUUUAUUUUGUUACAAAAAUGUUUUUUGUUUUUUUUUUAGUUUCUGUUUAUGUGUCAGUGUGUAUAAACUUAUGUACAUUUGUGGACUUUAUAAAUAUGUAAUGAACUUUAAGUCAAAAUGUGGACAUUAAAUUUGGUUUUGUAAACAUUCUAAA